rnacentral:rRNA from 1 species
AUUGAACGCUGGCGGCAGGCUUAACACAUGCAAGUCGAGCGGAAACGAUGUAGCUUGCUACAGGCGUCGAGCGGCGGACGGGUGAGUAACGCGUAGGAAUCUGCCUAGUAGUGGGGGACAACAUGUGGAAACGCAUGCUAAUACCGCAUACGCCCUACGGGUGAAAGGAGGGGAUCUUCGGACCUUUCGCUAUUAGAUGAGCCUGCGUAAGAUUAGCUAGUUGGUAGGGUAAAGGCCUACCAAGGCGACGAUCUUUAACUGGUCUGAGAGGAUGGCCAGUCACACUGGGACUGAGACACGGCCCAGACUCCUACGGGAGGCAGCAGUGGGGAAUAUUGGACAAUGGGCGCAAGCCUGAUCCAGCCAUGCCGCGUGUGUGAAGAAGGCCUUAGGGUUGUAAAGCACUUUCAGGGGUGAGGAAGGGUGUUUGGUUAAUAUCCAAACAUUUUGACGUUAGCCCCAGAAGAAGCACCGGCUAACUCUGUG